rnacentral:rRNA from 1 species
AUGUUUUUGCCAAGUUCUUUUGAACAAAGGUUAAACAUGAGAAUGGAAUUCCUUAUCAAGAAUGGUUCAUGGAAUAUGAGAACGGAACUCCCGUUUCUAUAUUUCAAUCAAGUUAUCAAGAAUGUUUGGGGACCAUGUUAUUUGUUAAAUGACUGGUACACCAUAGACCAUGAGGAUGGAACUCUUGGUUGUCUCAAGCAAUUAAGCAAGAAUGGUUGGAGAUCAUGUUCUUUGGAGAUAUACCAUGAGAAUCAAACUCUUUUUAUUAUCUUAGCGGUCAUUUUGCAAGGCAAUGUUUUCAAGCCAAUACAUGAACAAGUUUUAGUGUAUUCCAAACUGGUAAAUGGAGUAAAUUGCUUGUAA